rnacentral:rRNA from 1 species
UACGGAGGAUGCAAGCGUUAUCCGGAAUGAUUGGGCGUAAAGCGUCCGCAGGUGGCUAUGUAAGUCUGCUGUUAAAGGGUGAGGCUCAACCUCAUAAGAGCAGUGGAAACUACAUGGCUAGAGUGCGUUCGGGGCAGAGGGAAUUCCUGGUGUAGCGGUGAAAUGCGUAGAUAUCAGGAAGAACACCGGUGGCGAAAGCGCUCUGCUAGACCUGUACUGACACUGAGGGACGAAAGCUAGGGGAGCGAAUGGG